AUGCUGGAGGUAUCAGAAGUGCGAAUGCUGACAUAAGUAACGAUAAAGCGGGUGAAAAGCCCGCUCGCCGGAAGACCAAGGGUUCCUGUCCAACGUUAAUCGGGGCAGGGUGAGUCGACCCCUAAGGCGAGGCCGAAAGGCGUAGUCGAUGGGAAACAGGUUAAUAUUCCUGUACUUGGUGUUACUGCGAAGGGGGGACGGAGAAGGCUAUGUUGGCCGGGCGACGGUUGUCCCGGUUUAAGCGUGUAGGCUGGUUUUCCAGGCAAAUCCGGAAAAUCAAGGCUGAGGCGUGAUGACGAGGCACUACGGUGCUGAAGCAACAAAUGCCCUGCUUCCAGGAAAAGCCUCUAAGCAUCAGGUAACAUCAAAUCGUACCCCAAACCGACACAGGUGGUCAGGUAGAGAAUACCAAGGCGCUUGAGAGAACUCGGGUGAAGGAACUAGGCAAAAUGGUGCCGUAACUUCGGGAGAAGGCACGCUGAUAUGUAGGUGAAGCGACUUGCUCGUGGAGCUGAAAUCAGUCGAAGAUACCAGCUGGCUGCAACUGUUUAUUAAAAACACAGCACUGUGCAAACACGAAAGUGGACGUAUACGGUGUGACGCCUGCCCGGUGCCGGAAGGUUAAUUGAUGGGGUUAGCGCAAGCGAAGCUCUUGAUCGAAGCCCCGGUAAACGGCGGCCGUAACUAUAACGGUCCUAAGGUAGCGAAAUUCCUUGUCGGGUAAGUUCCGACCUGCACGAAUGGCGUAAUGAUGGCCAGGCUGUCUCCACCCGAGACUCAGUGAAAUUGAACUCGCUGUGAAGAUGCAGUGUACCCGCGGCAAGACGGAAAGACCCCGUGAACCUUUACUAUAGCUUGACACUGAACAUUGAGCCUUGAUGUGUAGGAUAGGUGGGAGGCUUUGAAGUGUGGACGCCAGUCUGCAUGGAGCCGACCUUGAAAUACCACCCUUUAAUGUUUGAUGUUCUAACGUUGACCCGUAAUCCGGGUUGCGGACAGUGUCUGGUGGGUAGUUUGACUGGGGCGGUCUCCUCCUAAAGAGUAACGGAGGAGCACGAAGGUUGGCUAAUCCUGGUCGGACAUCAGGAGGUUAGUGCAAUGGCAUAAGCCAGCUUGACUGCGAGCGUGACGGCGCGAGCAGGUGCGAAAGCAGGUCAUAGUGAUCCGGUGGUUCUGAAUGGAAGGGCCAUCGCUCAACGGAUAAAAGGUACUCCGGGGAUAACAGGCUGAUACCGCCCAAGAGUUCAUAUCGACGGCGGUGUUUGGCACCUCGAUGUCGGCUCAUCACAUCCUGGGGCUGAAGUAGGUCCCAAGGGUAUGGCUGUUCGCCAUUUAAAGUGGUACGCGAGCUGGGUUUAGAACGUCGUGAGACAGUUCGGUCCCUAUCUGCCGUGGGCGCUGGAGAACUGAGGGGGGCUGCUCCUAGUACGAGAGGACCGGAGUGGACGCAUCACUGGUGUUCGGGUUGUCAUGCCAAUGGCACUGCCCGGUAGCUAAAUGCGGAAGAGAUAAGUGCUGAAAGCAUCUAAGCACGAAACUUGCCCCGAGAUGAGUUCUCCCUGACUCCUUGA
rnacentral:rRNA from 1 species